CUUGGCGGUGAACUUGAGCCAGCAGCGGUUAACCCGGCCCGGGGUUCUGGGCCUCAGCCGGCGCCAGCAGCUCCCUCAGGUGGGGCGCAAGCCUCAGCGCGCCGCCCUUCUCCGCUCCGCUCCUCCAACCCGCCCUUACGUAGGGCGACGGCCCCGGGGACCCUCUUCCCAAGGGCGUCGGCCUGGAGCCUGUAGUCUGUAGGAGUGGCGGGAGAUGGGGACGCGAGUCCCUGGACGCCGACAGUCUGUCUCUACGGCGUUGCUGCGUGGCUUUGGUACACAGAGCCUCGACCGCUUCUCCACCGCUGCAAGCACAGCGGGGAAGUGGAUGGAGAAGCAAAGACAGACAGACAGACAGACAGACAGACAAGCGGCGGCGGGGCUACCCUGAAACCCGAGCGUCUCCAAGCCCCCACCCCCAACCCCCGGGCACGGCUCUGCAGAUGCCAGAUCCCCGACCAGAGGCGGUGGAGAUGGGCAGGGCAAAGAACGCGCGCGCCGCUCGCAGCUCGUCCGCGCGUGGCCUUCCUCUUGCCCCCCUGCACCUUCAAUUUACCUUAUGCAGGGCGCCCCGCGAGCUGCGGGCUGAGGCGCCGAGCCGAAGCCCAGAGGACAGGAGUUUGAGAGCCGCCAUCUUCGGCCCCGGGUGCGGGAGAAGGUGGCGCGCGCGGGAGUGCGUGCGAGUGCUGGUUGCCCGGGGCCGCGGCGGCGUCACGGGCUAAGAAGAGAGAAGGCAAGGCGAGCGGUAGGGCGGGCUGGAGGCUCGACCGCGCGUCAGUGACGUCCUCGGGACCUCAGAGCGGUGCCGCCCCUUGCUGCCUGCUGGCUUGUCAAGAAGCGAGACAGGGAGGGGCUCACGGCUAGGAAUGGAAAGGCUGCACAGCUAGGACGAGCCCCGCGGGUUGUGCCGGGGCCGGAGGUGCUGGGCUCCAGCUCAUCUGCGGGCACACCCGCAGCGGCGGGCGCUGCACUCAGGCUGGAGGGGGCGCUAGAGCCUGCCUUCCCCUGGCGCAAGGCUUGGCAUCAACCAGGGUUUCGGGUUGCCAAGGGCCUGGAGGGUCUCUUACUGAACGUGUUACUUUUCCAAGUCGCCCUCUUGAAUGAGUACAGGUACAAAGGGUCACUGAUAAAGAUCUCCUUCCAGAUCUAGACAGCUCACCUUUCCAACAUUUCUCAACCCCAACACCCACAACUCUCUUCAAGUCUGGUUUUGCCCUUAGUUUCCUCUGAAACCCAGCAGCGUGCUGACUGACCCUCAUGAGACAUGACCUGCUUAACCGACAGAGGGACAAGAUUAGAACUGGGCUGUUGUUCCCCAUCAUCCUACUCUGUGUUCCAGAAUUUUCCUGGAACCGGAGUCCCAACAAUUCCAGAAAUUACAGAGCAGCAACCGUUAAAUACAGAAGUUGGUGCUAGAGUGGGCUGAAGCUGUGUAGCACUUGACUGUGUUGCUUUGAAGAGGAAGGUGGAAGACUGUGGAGAUCUGGCCUGGAGCAGCAUCUGAAUACUUUCGGCAGAACUUAAAAGGCAACCCUAAAGGAAGCCUGAAAGAUAACCACACUGAGAGCAAUGAGGACUGUGGAGACCCAGAGCAGAAGGUUUCAGAGAGGAACACUAUCAGCCAUUGGGCUCCAAGCUCUUGUGAUAUUUGGGCAAAGAAUCUAAUGGCCCUGGGCUUUGAUCCUAAGAACUUACCUAAGGGGAAAUUUUUAAAGUAACAGAAUAAUUUCUAUAGUGGAAUAAAAUUUCAAGACCAC
ensembl:processed_transcript BC037032 cDNA Sequence BC037032